rnacentral:rRNA from 1 species
AUACGGAGGGUGCAAGCGUUGUUCGGAAUCACUGGGCGUAAAGGGCGCGCAGGCGGUUUGGUAAGUCAGAUGUGAAAGCCCACGGCUCAACCGUGGAAGUGCAUUUGAAACUGCAGGACUCGAGUAUCAGAGGGGAAAGUGGAAUUCCCGGUGUAGAGGUGAAAUUCGUAGAUAUCGGGAGGAAUACCGGUGGCGAAGGCGACUUUCUGGCUGAAUACUGACGCUGAGGCGCGAAAGCGUGGGGAGCAAACAGGAUUAGAAACCCGGGUAGUCC